CUUCCAGUAGCACCUUGGAGAGCAACUAAGUUUGUUAUUGGUAUGAGCUUUCAUGUGCAUGCACACUUCUUCACGAAAGCUCAUACCAAUAACAAACUUAGUUGGUCUUUAAGAUGCUAAUGGAAG
rnacentral:miRNA from 1 species